UUGUCCGGCCACCAUUUCAAUCCUAGGAAUGGAUAUGAAUUCGAGUUUAUUCGGGAAAUAGUCAAAUAUGUAUCCAACAAAUUGAAUCAUGUCCUUUUACAUGUUGUUGAUUACCCCGUUGGCCUACAACAUCGAGUUUUAAAAGUAAACUCACUUCUAAAAGUUGGAUCUAAUGAUAAAGUCAAGAUGCUUGGGAUCUAUGGACCAGGAGGGAUAGGUAAGACAACACUUGCAAAAGCGGUUUAUAAUUUCAUUGCUGGUCAAUUUGAAUGUGUCUGUUUCCUUCACAAUGUGAGAGAAAAUUCAGCAAAACAUGGCUUAGAGCAUCUCCAAAAAGAUUUGCUUUCCAAGAUUGUUGGAUUGGACAUUAA
rnacentral:lncRNA from 1 species